ensembl:miRNA
GGCGGGGGCGCGGGCGGCAGUGGCGGGAGCGGCCCCUCGGCCAUCCUCCGUCUGCCCAGUUACCGCUUCCGCUACCGCCGCCGCUCCCGCU